UGGGGAAUAUUGCACAAUGGGCGCAAGCCUGAUGCAGCCAUGCCGCGUGUGUGAAGAAGGCCUUCGGGUUGUAAAGCACUUUCAGCGAGGAGGAAGGGUUCAGUGUUAAUAGCACUGUGCAUUGACGUUACUCGCAGAAGAAGCACCGGCUAACUCCGUACCAGCAGCCGCGGUAAUACGGAGGGUGCAAGCGUUAAUCGGAAUUACUGGGCGUAAAGCGCACGCAGGCGGUUUGUUAAGUCAGAUGUGAAAUCCCCGCGCUUAACGUGGGAACUGCAUU
rnacentral:rRNA from 1 species